rnacentral:rRNA from 1 species
AUACAGAGGGUGCAAGCGUUAAUCGGAAUUACUGGGCGUAAAGCGCACGUAGGUGGAUAUUUAAGUCGGAUGUGAAAGCCCUGGGCUUAACCUGGGAAUUGCAUUCGAAACUGCCUGGCUAGAGUAUGGGAGAGGGAAGCGGAAUUUCCGGUGUAGCGGUGAAAUGCGUAGAUAUCCGAAGGAACACCAGUGGCGAAGGCGGCUUCCUGGCCCAAUACUGACGCUCAGGUGCGAAAGCGUGGGUAGCGAACAGGAUUAGAAACCCGGGUAGUCC